GGCUUAGAAGCAGCCAUCCUUGAAAGAGUGCGUAAUAGCUCACUGGUCAAGUGAUUUCGCGCCGACAAUGUAGCGGGGCUUAAGCGUACCGCCGAAGCUGUGGCAACAACACGAAUUAGCUGGCGUCAUUUAAUGAUUGUUGGUGUGUUGUUGGGUAGGGGAGCGUCCUGCAUGAGGUGAAGCCUGGGGGUAACCUCUGGUGGAUUGUGUGGGAGUGAGAAUGCAGGCAUGAGUAGCGAAUCUGCGGUGAGAAUCCGCAGCGCCGAUUGACUAAGGGUUCCAGGGCUAGGUUUAUCCGCCCUGGGUUAGUCGGGUCCUAAGGCGAGGCCGACAGGCGUAGUCGAUGGACAACCAGUUGAUAUUCUGGUACCGCGUUAUGACCGCCCAUGCUGAAGUCAUUGUGCUAACCAAUCUGCCCGCGCACCCUUGUGGCUUUCGGGCUGCGAGCGUGUGUGUGGGUCUUGGGGUCCCGGUGAUGGUAGGCAAGCGUGUUAACAGGGGUGACGCAGACAGGUAGCUGCAGUGCGCCGAUGGUUGUGCGUAUUUAAGGUUGUGGCCCGCCUCCCAGGCAAAUCCGGGGGACAAUAGUGGGUGAGAACUGAUGAGGGACACACGCGUGUGUGGACUUGUGGUGAUCCUAAGCUGCCGAGAAAAGCCUCGACGUGAGGGCAUGACGCGCCCGUACCCUAAACCGACUCAGGUGGUCAGGUAGAGUAUACCGAGGCGUUCGAGUGAAUCGUGGUUAAGGAACUCGGCAAAAUUCCUCCGUAACUUCGGGAUAAGGAGGACCCCGUGACUUGCGUCCGCCUUGCGUGGGUGUUGGGUUGUGGGGUCGCAGAGAAUAGGGAGAAGCGACUGUUUAUCAAAAACACAGGUGCGUGCGAAGCCGUAAGGCGAUGUAUACGCACUGACGCCUGCCCGGUGCUGGAAGGUUAAGAGGAACCGUCAGUCACUUUAUUGUGGUGAAGCGGUGAAUUUAAGCCCCAGUAAACGGCGGUGGUAACUAUAACCAUCCUAAGGUAGCGAAAUUCCUUGUCGGGUAAGUUCCGACCUGCACGAAUGGCGUAACGACUUCUCCGCUGUCUCAACCGCGAACUCGGUGAAAUUGCAGUACGAGUAAAGAUGCUCGUUUCGCGCAGAAGGACGGAAAGACCCCGGGACCUUUACUAUAGCUUGGUAUUGGUGUUCGCUUGUGCUUGUGUAGGAUAGGUGGGAGACUGUGAAGCCGCGGCGCCAGCCGUGGUGGAGUCGUCGUUGAAAUACCAUUCUGGUUCAAGCGGUCACCUUAACCUAGACCCGUGAUCCGGGUUGGGGACAGUGCCUGGUGGGUAGUUUAACUGGGGCGGUUGCCUCCUAAAAUGUAACGGAGGCGCUCAAAGGUUCCCUCAGCCUGGUUGGUAAUCAGGUGGCGAGUGCAAGUGUACAAGGGAGCUUGACUGUGAGACCGACGGGUCGAGCAGGUGCGAAAGCAGGAACUAGUGAUCCGGCCAUGGCACGUGGGUGCGUGGUCGCUCAACGGAUAAAAGGUACCCCGGGGAUAACAGGCUGAUCUUGCCCAAGAGUCCAUAUCGACGGCAUGGUUUGGCACCUCGAUGUCGGCUCGUCGCAUCCUGGGGCUGGAGUCGGUCCCAAGGGUUGGGCUGUUCGCCCAUUAAAGCGGUACGCGAGCUGGGUUCAGAACGUCGUGAGACAGUUCGGUCCCUAUCCUCUGUGCGCGCAGGAAAUUUGAGAAGGGCCGUCCCUAGUACGAGAGGACCGGGAUGGACGAACCUCUGGUGUGCCAGUUGUACCGCCAGGUGCAUGGCUGGUUGGCUACGUUCGGAAGGGAUAACCGCUGAAAGCAUCUAAGCGGGAAGCCUGCUUCAAGAUGA
rnacentral:rRNA from 1 species